rnacentral:rRNA from 1 species
UACGUAGGGAGCAAGCGUUGUCCGGAAUCAUUGGGCGUAAAGCGCGCGUAGGCGGCCUCAUAAGUCCGUUGUGAAAGUCAAAGGCUCAACCUUUGAAAGCCGAUGGAUACUGUGAGGCUAGAGUCCGGAAGAGGCGAGUGGAAUUCCUGGUGUAGCGGUGGAAUGCGCAGAUAUCAGGAGGAACACCGGUGGCGAAGGCGGGUCUCUGGGCAGUAACUGACGCUGAGGAGCGAAAGCGUGGGGAGCGAACAGG